rnacentral:lncRNA from 1 species
GAGAGAGAGAGAGAGAGAGAGAGAGAGAGUGAGGCUACUAUGCUAUCGGAAGCACGGAGCCUUCCAUGCUUCCAGCUCGUUUUCGAUGUUGCGACUUUCGAAUCGUCGAUCGGCUCCGCUAAACUUGAUCUAGAGUAUUUGGAGUACCUAGAAAAUAAAUUUUAUUAUUUUUCGAUAUCAUUUGCCUAGUGAUCGAAUGGGCUCAAAAUCAACAAAUUUCAAUAGCCGUAGUGAGCCGUUCGCAAGUUUAACGGUGUAGAAAUAUCCAAAUCACGUGAAAUUUUGAUAGAAAAUUCUUUAUACUAUAUAAAACAAGAUCAAUAUCUUUGAUUUAAAAUUUUAAUGUCAUAUUAUUAUAUUUUGUAAGAUUUUUAUUUUCAGCCGUUGAUUUUGAGCCCCUUCGUUCACUAGGCAAAUGAUAUCGUAAAAUCAUAAAAUUUAUUUUCUAGAUACUUCAAAUACUCUAGAUCAAGUUUAACGGAGCCGAUCGACGAUUCGAAAGUCGCAACAUCGAAAACGAGCUAGAAGCACGGAAGGCUCCGUGCUUCCGAUAGCAUAGUAG